rnacentral:rRNA from 1 species
GAUGAACGCUGGCGGCGUGCCUAAUACAUGCAAGUCGAGCGAACAGAUGAGGAGCUUGCUCCUCUGACGUUAGCGGCGGACGGGUGAGUAACACGUGGAUAACCUACCUAUAAGACUGGGAUAACUUCGGGAAACCGGAGCUAAUACCGGAUAAUAUAUUGAACCGCAUGGUUCAAUAGUGAAAGACGGUUUUGCUGUCACUUAUAGAUAGAUCCGCGCCGCAUUAGCUAGUUGGUAAGGUAACGGCUUACCAAGGCAACGAUGCGUAGCCGACCUGAGAGGGUGAUCGGCCACACUGGAACUGAGACACGGUCCAGACUCCUACGGGAGGCAGCAGUAGGGAAUCUUCCGCAACGGGCGAAAGCCUGACGGAGCAACGCCGCGUGAGUGAUGAAGGUCUUCGGAUCGUAAAACUCUGUUAUUAGGGAAGAACAAAUGUGUAAGUAACUAUGCACGUCUUGACGGUACCUAAUCAGAAAGCCACGGCUAACUACGUG